CCUACGGGAGGCAGCAGUGAGGAAUAUUGGUCAAUGGGCUUACGCCUGAACCAGCCAAGUCGCGUGAGGGAAGACUGCCCUAUGGGUUGUAAACCUCUUUUGUCAGGGAGCAAUUGGCGCUACGUGUAGCGUUAUCGAGAGUACCUGAAGAAAAAGCAUCGGCUAACUCCGUGCCAGCAGCCGCGGUAAUACGGAGGAUGCGAGCGUUAUCCGGAUUUAUUGGGUUUAAAGGGUGCGUAGGCGGAAUGCCAAGUCAGCGGGAAAAUCGCGGGGCUCAACCUCGCUCCGCCGUUGAAACUGGCGUUCUUGAGUGGGCGAGAAGUAUGCGGAAUGCGUGGUGUAGUGGUGAAAUGCAUAGAUAUCACGCAGAACUCCGAUUGCGAAGGCAGCAUACCGGCGCCCAACUGACGCUGAAGCACGAAAGCGUGGGUAUCGAACAGGAUUAGAUACCCUUGUAGUC
rnacentral:rRNA from 1 species